UCGUCACACUAUCAUUAACUGAAUCCAUAGGUUAAUGAGGCGAACCGGGGGAACUGAAACAUCUAAGUACCCCGAGGAAAAGAAAUCAACCGAGAUUCCCCCAGUAGCGGCGAGCGAACGGGGAGGAGCCCAGAGCCUGAAUCAGCAUGUGUGUUAGUGGAAGCGUCUGGAAAGGCGCGCGAUACAGGGUGACAGCCCCGUACACAAAAGCGCAUGUGCUGUGAGCUCGAUGAGUAGGGCGGGACACGUGGUAUCCUGUCUGAAUAUGGGGGGACCAUCCUCCAAGGCUAAAUACUCCUGACUGACCGAUAGUGAACCAGUACCGUGAGGGAAAGGCGAAAAGAACCCCGGCGAGGGGAGUGAAAAAGAACCUGAAACCGUGUACGUACAAGCAGUGGGAGCACAGGUUUACC
rnacentral:rRNA from 1 species